GUGGAACUGUGUUAUCCCUUAGUCGCCUCUUACGACACCCACGGGAAGAGAGAGGGUGGCUAUAUUCUUUUGUACCGCAGCCACACAGUACAGAUAUUUAUUAUUGCUUUU